GGCCCUCCCUUGAGAGAGGGGAGAUUUGAAGAGUGGCGAAGGGACUGGCUGAGGGUUGGUGUGAGUCGGGAUAUAGCUGGAGGGGAGGAUUGGGGAUACAGGAAGAGCAGGCUCAAUGGCUCGCUCGAGAGCGAGGAGCUGCAAGGCUGUUUGUCAAGCUUGGGCAGUUCGACUCGGGUAAACUUCAGAGAACUGGAACCCGCUCAUUGAAAUGCGCGCAGCAGACAUCCCCACCCCCAGAGCCAGAGUGACUGUAAACACUGCCUUAAACAGCAGCUCCGAGAGCCAGCCUGCUCUCCUCCCCAGAGCAUGUGUGUGGGAGCUGGCAGCAGCAGCAGGGCCAGAGCUCUUCUCCUGUGACAGCUGAACUUCUUCCUCGUGGAAUCGGAGCCUAGAACUUGUAUAGCUAGAAAGUUUUGACCUGCCUAGUUCCUUCGCAUUUGGAGCGAGCCUCCUUCCGUGCUUGCCACCAUUGUGGGUUUAAGGGGUUCCCCCUCCAUACCCACGCAACACCUGAGCCAGAGAAAGAAGAGGACUUGGGAUGAUGUGUUCAGCAAGAUCCUGCAAGCCAGUGCUGCAUUGUACCUUGAGCAGAGGGCCUAGAGUGUGAAUGACAGGACAGAGUCCCAGCACGAAAAGGAGAGGGAGACGCAUGAGGACAUAAUGGGGCUUCUCUGGCAGCUAUUACAGACGCUGCAGACUCUGUUGAACCUGUAGGUCAACAAAUCAUGCCAUCACCUCUCUUUGUAGUUCCUGGAGAACUUAGUUUUAGCACUUCCCUACACUCUCUUCCCAUAACAUUCCAUGUGGCAUUGGGGCCACAUCCCCACUCCUACCACUCCACACCAGGGGACAGUAAGGACAAUCACUGCUUCACAUACCCUUUCCUUGAGAGUCACGGUUGCUGUAUGUGUUGCCAAAAUAGAUAUAUAUGUUUUCCCCCUUGUUAACAUAAGUUCUGUUCCAUGAAUGUAUUAACGUAUUUGCUCUUAAAUUUAACUGAUUUCUUUCCCCCCACUUGUCUUGUUAAAUAAAACUAUAAUUUAGGGGAAAUAAUUCAUCUUUAUUAAUUCCCACUAUGUGCUGUAGAAUGCCUAGCAGUACUGAAAGCAUUCACUUACUUGUUACUGUACAGUGUGACACAAAUCAUAGGAGUAGUGACAAAUGCAGUGUAGUAAUAAUGUAAAGCAAACACCACAAAAUCAAUAGGUGUAUUGAUAGUAGUAUAUUCACAGAUGUACACCAAGCAUCACACAAUUCCAAACAGGUCCCAAAACUGCAUGGCCAGGUACAGCACAGUUCACCACAGCACAUUACUGUAGCUCACUGAUAAAGUGCUUUCUCAAGGCCUCCCUCAGCAGCAUAAAUGCAUUGAACUCUUCUAAUGGCUCUUGUGUUGUGCUACUCACGCUCAGCAGACAGCCACUCUACUUCUGCCACCGUGAUAACUUUUGCCUCACAGAUUAUGCAGAACGUGGGAGGCAGUUAUAACAGUUGGCAUAUUUUUCUCAUAGCGUCCAGUCGUGUGAGUAAACAACUUUCAAUCUACCAAAAUCACAUUCAGCUGUCAUUCUGCACCUGCCAAGCCAGAAGUUGACUCAUUCCUGGUGCUGUCAAGGUGACCAGGG